AUUCUCAGGCAUGAGUUGUCCACGAUCUCUUUGAAUCUAUGUACGAAGCCGUCCGCCGGCUCCGCGUCGGGCGGACGGAUAA
rnacentral:sRNA from 1 species